CGGUAAAGAUGGCUAUGCGUCCUAUUAGCUAGAUGGUAAGGUAACGGCUUACCAUGGCAAUGAUAGGUAGGGGUCCUGAGAGGGGAGUCCCCNNNACUGGUACUGAGACACGGACCAGACUCCUACGGGAGGCAGCAGUGAGGAAUAUUGGUCAAUGGAGGCAACUCUGAACCAGCCAUGCCGNGUGCAGGAAGACUGCCUAUGGGUUGUAAACUGCUUUUAUACAGGAAGAAACACUCCCNNGUGAGGGAGCUUGACGGUACUGUAAGAAUAAGGA
rnacentral:rRNA from 1 species